rnacentral:tRNA from 1 species
UCUCCGAUGGUCUAACGGUUAUGAUUUCCGCUUGUCAUUGCUCUAUGAACGCGGGAGACCGGGGUUCGACUCCCCGUCGGAGAG